CAAGCGGGGGAAGUGGGCGGGCGGGUAGGAGAUCGGGUCCCGCUUGCCCCGGGGUUGGCGGGGAGGGAGGAGGGGCGCUUCGGGGUAGAAGGGGGCCGCCGUCUCUAGACUAGAUUCUGUGGAUAGCAGACGAGGCGACUGGGACGCGCACCUCUUCCAAAGUCCCAGCUUCUCCGACUACCCGACGUCUGGGAGGAGCGAUUCCGCGCUGGAAAUUUCGGGGAACCUCACCUCCUUCACUCUCCAUCCCCUCCCUCUCAGGGAUCGCUCUGGUGCUUCCAGCUCUGAGACGACUUGAUAGAGUCCAGUAUUUUGGAGGUGUUUCGUCGUUAAGAAUAUUUAUCUUGCAGCGGUGGUUAAGUCACGUGAGGGCCGGAGCUCUGGGCUGCUGGGGAAGAACGUCCUCUGCUCUCUGCGCGCCGGAGAAAUGAAGCGCAGCCGGGCCAGGAUCCUGGCUGGCUGUCCCGCGCCGGCGGAGAGGAGGGCCAGGGGACGCAGAGGGGAGGGCCUCAGCUCACGGGCUCCGGAAUACGAUUGGCUUUGGAAAGAAACGUGUCAGCAGAGUGGGGAAGGGAUAAAUGAAAUCGUAAAUUUUGCAAAAGAAAAAAAAAGUCUCUCCUCCCCUACCCACCAGCCGAACACCGAACGGAAUAAAAUCUUAACCUAGGUAAGGACCUUGGGCUCGAAGCUCAACCUCCGACCCUGGUACGACAGCUUUGACAGGUGCUCAUCUAAUUCCUCUAAGGACAGAAAACAGACCAUUUCAUUUUGUUCGUGUUCGAGCGCACCUACUCGUGAAAAAAUUUUUUAUAGAAUCGAA